ACAUGCAAGUCGAGCGCGGGAAGCGAACGGAACUCUUGAAGGGGGGGGCGUGGAACGAGCGGCGGACGGGUGAGUAAUACGAAAAAGAAACCUGCCUGUAAGACUGGGAUAACUCGCGGAAACGCGAGCUAAUACCGGAUAACACUUUCUAUCACCUGAUGGAAAGUUGAAAGGCGGCUUUUGCUGUCACUUACAGAUGGGCCUGCGGCGCAUUAGCUAGUUGGUGAGGUAACGGCUCACCAAGGCGACGAUGCGUAGCCGACCUGAGAGGGUGAUCGGCCACACUGGGACUGAGACACGGCCCAGACUCCUACGGGAGGCAGCAGUAGGGAAUCUUCCGCAAUGGACGAAAGUCUGACGGAGCAACGCCGCGUGAGUGAUGAAGGUUUUCGGAUCGUAAAACUCUGUUGUCAGGGAAGAACAAGUACGAUAGUAACUGAUCGUACCUUGACGGUACCUGACCAGAAAGCCACGGCUAACUACGUGCCAGCAGCCGCGGUAAUACGUAGGUGGCAAGCGUUGUCCGGAAUUAUUGGGCGUAAAGCGCUCGCAGGCGGUUCUUUAAGUCUGAUGUGAAAUCUUGCGGCUCAACCGCAAACGUGCAUUGGAAACUGGAGGACUUGAGUGCAGAAGAGGAGAGUGGAAUUCCACGUGUAGCGGUGAAAUGCGUAGAGAUGUGGAGGGAACACCAGUGGCGAAGGCGACUCUCUGGUCCUGUAACUGA
rnacentral:rRNA from 1 species